GAUGAAGAACGUAGCGAAAUGCGAUACGUAAUGUGAAUUGCAGAAUUCAGUGAAUCAUCGAGUCUUUGAACGCACAUUGCGCCCCCUGGUAUUCCGGGGGGCAUGCCUGUCCGAGCGUCAUUGCUGCCCUCAAGCACGGCUUGUGUGUUGGGCCUCCGUCCUCCUCCCGGGGGACGGGCCCGAAAGGCAGCGGCGGCACCGCGUCCGGUCCUCGAGCGUAUGGGGCUUUGUCACCCGCUCUGUAGGCCCGGCCGGCGCUUGCCGAUCAACCAAAACUUUUUUCCAGGUUGACCUCGGAUCAGGUAGGGAUACCCGCUGAACUUAAGCAUAUCAAUAAGCGGAGGA
rnacentral:misc_RNA from 1 species